UGGGGAAUAUUGGACAAUGGGCGAAAGCCUGAUCCAGCCAUGCCGCGUGUGUGAAGAAGGUCUUCGGAUUGUAAAGCACUUUAAGUUGGGAGGAAGGGCAGUAAGUUAAUACCUUGCUGUUUUGACGUUACCGACAGAAUAAGCACCGGCUAACUCUGUGCCAGCAGCCGCGGUAAUACAGAGGGUGCAAGCGUUAAUCGGAAUUACUGGGCGUAAAGCGCGCGUAGGUGGUUUGUUAAGUUGGAUGUGAAAGCCCCGGGCUCAACCUGGGAACUGCAUCCAAAACUGGCAAGCUAGAGUAUGGUAGAGGGUGGUGGAAUUUCCUGUGUAGCGGUGAAAUGCGUAGAUAUAGGAAGGAACACCAGUGGCGAAGGCGACCACCUGGACUGAUAUUGACACUGAGGUGCGAAAGCGUGGGGAGCAAACAGGAUUAGAUACCCAGGUAGUCCCUGAGCGGGCUGGCAAGGCGCAU
rnacentral:rRNA from 1 species